UGGGGAAUUUUGGACAAUGGGCGCAAGCCUGAUCCAGCAAUGCCGCGUGAGUGAAGAAGGCCUUCGGGUUGUAAAGCUCUUUUGUCAGGGAAGAAACGGUUGGGGCUAAUAUCCGGGGCUAAUGACGGUACCUGAAGAAUAAGCACCGGCUAACUACGUGCCAGCAGCCGCGGUAAUACGUAGGGUGCAAGCGUUAAUCGGAAUUACUGGGCGUAAAGCGUGCGCAGGCGGUUUUGUAAGUCUGUCGUGAAAUCCCCGGGCUCAACCUGGGAAUGGCGAUGGAGACUGCAAGGCUAGAGUUUGGCAGAGGGGGGUAGAAUUCCACGUGUAGCAGUGAAAUGCGUAGAGAUGUGGAGGAACACCGAUGGCGAAGGCAGCCCCCUGGGUCAAAACUGACGCUCAUGCACGAAAGCGUGGGGAGCAAACAGGAUUAGAUACCCGGGUAGUCC
rnacentral:rRNA from 1 species